UGUAGCCCCAAUCGCCCUGCUGCACGCCAUUUUCGGACCUUCAAAUUUCAAACCCGAGGUUUUCUAAUUGAGAUUACAAUACUGUGAAUUGAUAUAUUCACUUUCAAUUUCAGGAACUCAAAUGAUGAUUCGAUUCGUCGAUGAGGAGAUUGGGAACGGGGGAUUCCCUUUAUAUAGGGAUUCGAAAAGUGAACCUUAAAAAGAGGCCUUGGGAAGGGGACCAAUAAGAAGAUGAGAUUAAGAUGCAGCGAGCACUAAGAUGAUUCUCGAAGUUGAUGUGGAGGAAAGACAGCGCAUGGACACGUCAAAAAGCACAACACGGAGAUAUUACGAUACCAAUUGCAGAACAUUCAGGAAGUUGAUUACAGUUGAGUUAAAAAUAAGGAACUUGAUCACAUACUGGAAGUGAUGACCCCUAUAAACCUAAGCUCUUUCAGAUGCUAUACUCGACCGAUGGUGGUUCCAUAUAAAUCAUAAAUUGAUGACAUUCACCACACUCCACGGAUCUUUACCCCCAUCCAACUAGCUUUGGCUCCUUGGAUCGGUUUCUUAUAUCUUUAUCUCCAUUGCAUACGGCCUUUUUUUUCCUUCACAUCUGGAUGGUGAGUUUCAAAUUCACGAUUUUUUUAUUAGAGAUAUAUGACUUAAUCGAUUGAGUUAAGUUUAGGUGGGUAUGUAUGUAAUAUUCUUGUUAACGUGAUUGUAUUACUGAUUGAUCUUUUAA